GUCGUCACCCCUUAUAACGUGUUACCCGCCUUCGGACUACGUCGUUGCGGCGCACGCCCUACUGCCGGAAGCCCAACAUUUGGCGAAAGCGGACACUGCUUCGCACUCACUGCCAUUACCCAUUUCUUCGUGGCCGAUUGAUGCACGGUCGUCGGCGCCACUAUGCAUCCCACGCUCGCAACAGGCCUAAAUAACCCGCAUUUCCCGAGCAUCCACCAACUAGCGCAGCCUUCACAUUAGAACCCCGAAUUGGGACUCGCACGAAAGCUAUGCCCAACUGAACUCCUUCCAUCCCCUCUUACCUUAAGGACCACCUCGCCACCUUACGCGUCUAUAGUCCUCCUUGUGGUCACCGCUUCCGCCAAGAGACCCGGAAAGGACUGCGACUCCUCGCUUUCGCACCCCUCGCUGGUCCGAAUCUAUGGGACCAUCAGGUGCGACA
rnacentral:rRNA from 1 species